rnacentral:lncRNA from 1 species
UACUUUCAAAAUACUAAGAUCAUCAAUACCCAAAAAUGAGAGUUUGAUAGUGUGAUUUGAAUCUCCAAUGAUCUUCGAUCCGAGCUAGCUUGGCGACACUAUAAAAACAUGGAAAAUAAAUGGAGUAAGCUAUAUAGCUUAGUAAGCUCAUAUGCAAGAAAUAAGCAACCUUACCAUGCAUAUAACAUUUAAAUAUUAUAACAUAAUUAAAUGUAAAUUUUCCAUAGUCUCAUGAUCAUAACUCAUUCCGCCACAAAACUUACCUCAUAUUCAUCGUUUCAAGCAUUUAAUAAACAUCAGCUUUAUGUAAAUGCCUAAACCAUCUCGAAAUGAAUUUACACAUAUUCUCAUCUUUGACAUACUCGUGAACCACUCGGAAUAAUAAUGUCGGAUACUUGGGAAUCUUGCACACUAAGUGCCACAUAUGUAGCCAAUGCUACCUCAAUCUCAUAUCGCAUAAUUGCUCGUUCUCGAGCUACUCAACGGGCCUGCUCACACAAACUGUCAGUCAAGACGUAGCUACUCGGUGCUGCUCACACAAGCUGUCAAGUAACCGCAACAUAUGCCAAUAUACUCAGCAUCGGUAGGACGUACAAGGCCAGCACCCGAAUCACAUAAUCGCAUAACAUAUAGUAAUCCUAGUGACAUGUCACUUGUAUCCUAAUCUAUUCCUAAGGUUCAGCGGGACUUCUCACUUGUCGAAUCGUCGUCGAACUCAUUAGUAGAAUUAUACUCAUCCACAUAAUCAAACAUAUAAUUCAUGCAAUAUUAAAGCAUUUAAGUACAAUUAUUCUAAACCUUAUUUUAACCAUACAAACUUAUUUUGGUACAAAAUGGCUAAUAGUUCGAUUUAGUCCACAACCUUGUUCUUUCCCCUAUCUAGGUCAGAACCUCGUCUUUCUUGAUCUAUAAUACCAUAUUUAACUCAUUCAAUCAUCAUAUUAUUAAAUUUAAUCCCAAAAACACCUUAUGGAAAAAUUAUAUUUUUGCCCUUAACUUUUCUACUUUUUACAUUUUAGUCCCUAGGCUUGUAAAAUGAUUUUCAUUCAAUUUCAUCACACCCAAGCCUAGGUGAACCCAUUCCUUGCUCAUAACAACCCACAUUUUUCAUUUAUUCACAUUUUUACACAUAUUUUACAUCUUUUACAAAUAGGUCCCUAUUUGACAUUUUCAUCAAAAAUCACUUGGUAGAUGUUGUUUAUCUAACACUAAACAUGCAUUUUCUACCAUUAAAUAUCAAAAUACAAAAAUAUUCAACAUGGGAAACAUUUUAGACUUCAUCUUUCUUUCAUUUAGUCCCUUAAAUAGCUAGAUUAGGUUGAAACAACUUCAAAAACAUAAAAAUCAUGAAAAACGGGGCAAGAACGGACUUACAAUCGCGCUUGGAAGUGGUCAAAACCCUAGCUAUGAACUUCUUGAAAUUUUCUACUAUGGGGGGACUAAUUUGAGAAGGUGAACACUUUUAUUUUUGUUAUUUUGUCUUUAUUUACCAAAUGAUUAUAAUGCCCUUCACUUAAAACUUUGAAAGUUUAUCUAACCAUAUCCAUUUUUGUCCAUACUAAAAUAUAAUGGUCUAAUUACUAUUUAAGGACCUCCAAUUUAAAAUUUCAUAGCAAUUAGACACCUCUAGCUUCUGGAACACAUAUUUUGCAACUAUUACAAUUUAGUCCUAUUAGUCAAAUUGGACACUAUCAAUAAAAUUUGUUAACAAAAUUUUCACACAAUCAUUCAAUCAUACUGUAGACCUUAAAGUAAUAAUAAAAUUAACAUUUCUACUUCAAAUUUGUAGUCCCAAAACCACUGUUUCGAUUUGACCCAAAAAAGGGCUGUUACAACUUUCGUCUCCAAAAAUCUUAUCGGAAAAGAGGUUUGGGUACUAUUUUCUCAUAGCUUCCUCAGUUUCCCACAUAGCUUCUUAGACCCCAUGUCUUUGCCACAAAACUUUCACUAGGGCUAUAUUUUAAUUUCUCAACUGUUUAACUUCUUGAGCUAAAAUCUUGAUCGGUUCUUCACCAUAUGUUAUAUCGAGUCGAAUCUCAACCUCUGUCAGUGAAAUUAUAUGUAAAGGAUCUGAUCGAUAUCGUCGCAACAUAGACACAUGAAACACAUUGUGGAUUCUCUCUAAUUUUGACGGUAAUGCUAGUUGGUAAGCCACUAGUCAUAUCCUUUCAGUAACCUCAUAUGAACCAAUAAAGCACAGACUCGCUUGCCUUUGCGACCAAAUCUAAGAAUUUUCUUCCACAGAGGCACUUUCAAAAAUACCUUAUCACCAACUUGAAAUUCAAUUUCCUUUCAUUUUAGAUCCGCGUACGAUUUCUGUAUAUCCCAAGCUGAUUUCAAACAAUCACGAAUUACUUUAACUUUUUUUCAGUUUAUCUAACCAAAUCAACCCCGUGAAUCUUUCUCUCACUGAGCUCAAUCCAGUACAAUGGAGUCUGGCACUUGCGACCGUACAAUGCCUCAUACGAUGCCAUCUUUAUACUUGACUUGAAAUUAUUAUUAUAAGCAAAUUUGACUAAAGGUAGAUUUUUUCCCAACUACCUUCGAACUCUCAUACACAACAACAAAGUAUAUUUUCGAGUACCUAAAUCGUCCUUUCAGAUUGACCAUCAGUCUGCGGAUGAAAUGCGGUACUAAAAUUUAACUUUGUGCCCAAAGCCUCUUGCAACUUCUUCAAAAAUCGUGAAGUAAAUCUCGAAUCUCUAUCCAAAAUAAUAGAAAUAAGCACCCCGUACAAUCUAAAAAUCUUAGCUAUGUACAACUCAGCUAGCUUGUCAAAUGAAUAGUCGGUCCGUACCGGGAUAAAAUGAGCUGAUUUCUUCAAUCUAUCAACAACGACCCAAACAACAUAUUUCUUCUUCGGAGUCAGAGGUAAUCCAGUUACGAAAUCCAUCGUAAUUCUAUCCCACUUCCAUUUGGGAAUCAUCACAGGCUGAAGUAAACCCGAAGGUACUUGAUGUUCGCCCUUUACUUGUUGACAAAUCAAACAUCUCGUUACGAAUUCAGAAAUAUCUCAUUUCAUACCUGACCACAAAUACAAUUUCUUCAAGUCAUUAUACAUCUUCAUACUUCCUAGGUGAACAGACAGAUAAUUACUAUGUGCCUCAUGAAGAAUUUUCUAAAUAAGCUCGGUAUCUCUUGGUACACAAAUCCUACCUCGAAAUAUCAAGCAACCAUCAACCCCAAUUUCAAAAUCUGAAUCACUAUACGAUUCACACUGAACUCUUUUAGCUUAAAGUUCUUUGUCACAUUUUUAAGCUUCGUAAAUUUGCUAAAUAAAUACCGGCUUAGCUUUCAACUCAGCUAUAAUCGAGCCAUCAUAAGAUAAAGUCAGUCGCGUAUUCAUUGCUCUCAAAGCAAACAAAGAUUUCCUACUUAAAACGUCGGCGACUACAUUUACCUUUCCCGGAUGAUAAUCGAUUACCAACUCAUAAUCUUUUAAUAGCUUGAGCCAUCUUCAUUUUCGUAGAUUCAAGUCCUUUUAAGUCAUCAAGUACUUUAAGCUCUUGUGAUCGAUAAAGAUAUGGCACUUCUCACCGAAUAAAUGAUGUCGCCAAAUAUUUAAAGCAAACACAAUGGCAGCCAAUUCCAAGUCGUGUGUCGGGUAGUUCUUCUCAUGCGGUUUCAACUGUCUCGAGGCAUAAGCUAUCACUUUACCCUCUUGCGUUAACACACAACCAAGACUGUUCAGUGACGCAUCGCUGAAAAUCACGAACUCAUUUCCCGACUCGGGUUGCACUAAUACCGAUGCCUUAAUUAACAAUGCUUUCAACUGUUCGAAACUUUUUUGGCAUUUCUCUGACCACUCGAACUUAAAAUUUUUUGUGACAAUUUUGUCAUAGGUGUAGCAAUCAUUAAGAGUUCCUUAAUAAAAAGUCGAUAAUACCCGGCUAAGCCCAAAAAGCUUCUAACCUCGGAUACAUUCCUUGGUGGUUUCCAAUCAACAAUUGCUGAAAUCUUAUGUGGAUCAACUCUUAUACCUUCCCCUGAGACAAUAUGCCCCAAAAACCCUACUUCUCGGAGCCAAAACUCACUUUUGCUGAAUUUAGCAAACAAUUUUUUAUCUCUCAAAGUCUACAAUACAAUUCUUAAAUGUUCGGCAUGCUUAGACUCAUCUCGGGAAUAAAUCAAAAUGUCAUCAAUGAACACAACUACAAACUUUUCUAAAUACGGUUAGAAGAUCCAGUUCAUCAAAUCCAUAAAAACAGCAGGAGCAUUAGUUAAUCCAAAAGGCAUAACAAGAAAUUCAUAGUGCCCAUACCUCAUUUUGAAUGCGGUUUUCGGCAUAUCCGAGUCUUUAACUCUCAGCUGAUAAUAACAAGAUCUCAAAUCUAUUUUUGAGAAUACUGUUGCCCCUUUCACCUAGUCAAACAAAUCAUCAAUCCUUGUUAAAGGAUACUUGUUAUUUAUCGUAACCUUGUUGAGUUGACAAUAAUUGAUACAAAGUCUCAUGGAUCCAUCUUUCCUCUUAACGAAUAAUACCAGUGCACCCCAGGGCAAAAAAAUGGGUCUCGCAAAACCCUUUUCUAUUGAGACUUUAAUUCUUUCAAUUCGAUCAAAGCCAUCCUAUACGGAGCUAUCAAUAUUGGUGCAGUCCCCGGUACCAAAUCAAUAGCAAACUCCACCUCUCUGACCGGUGGUAACCCUAGCAACUCUUUUGGAAACACAUUUGGAUAUUCAUGAACUACCGGCAUAGAUUUUAUCUUCAAUUCAGACACCUUAGUAUCUAGUACAUACGCGAGAAAUGCUUCACAACCGUUUCUUACAUACGUCUGAGUCGACAUCGAAGAAAUCACAACAGGCAAUUCACCUGACUCAACUCGAAGAGUUUCAUUGUUUUGACAUUUCAAUUCAAUAACCUUUUGUUUACAAUUCACUACGACAUCAUGCAGAGUCAAUCAAUCCACUCCAAGUAUCACAUCAAACUCAUCAAAUGGCAAAAGCAUUAAGUCAGCCAGAAAACAGUGACCCCGAAUCAUUAGAGGACAACUCUUGCAAACUUUAUCAACUAAAACAUGUUUGCCUAAGGGAUUCGACACCUUAAUCACAAACUCAGUAAAUUCAACAGGCGAAUUCUUACUAGAUAUCAGAUUCAUGCAAAUAUAGGAAUGAGUCGAUCCAGGAUCAAUUAAUGCAACUACAUUAGUAUGAUAAAGAGAAAAUGUACCAGUGAUCACGUUAGGGGAGGACGCAUCCUCGCGAGCACGGAUGGCAUAAGCUCUAGCAGGUGAUCUAGUUUCCGAUCUCACAUCUGAAUCUUUGGAUACU